rnacentral:ncRNA from 1 species
UUUACAUCGUUGAUGAGAAGCAAGUAAGCUUUAACACAAGUUUAAAGAGAGCUGUAUAUGGUGAAAUUACAGUAACAAUGCUUUAGCUGAAUGGGUCUCUGAGAGCAUAAGUGAAAUAACAGUAGCUUAUGACGUGCACCUUACGUUAAAAGGGAUUGAUAUGUUUGUAUCUUUAAAGAGGAGAUUUUUCUCGAAUAUAGGUGGUACCGCGUAAACUACGCCCUAUGG